rnacentral:rRNA from 1 species
AACGAACGCUGGCGGCAGGCCUAACACAUGCAAGUCGAGCGCACCUUCGGGUGAGCGGCGGACGGGUUAGUAACGCGUGGGAAUAUGCCCUUCUCUACGGAAUAGCCUCGGGAAACUGAGAGUAAUACCGUAUACGCCCUUCGGGGGAAAGAUUUAUCGGUGAAGGAUUAGCCCGCGUUGGAUUAGGUAGUUGGUGGGGUAAUGGCCUACCAAGCCUACGAUCCAUAGCUGGUUUGAGAGGAUGAUCAGCAACACUGGGACUGAGACACGGCCCAGACUCCUACGGGAGGCAGCAGUGGGGAAUCUUAGACAAUGGGGGAAACCCUGAUCUAGCCAUGCCGCGUGAGUGACGAAGGCCCUAGGGUCGUAAAGCUCUUUCGCCAGGGAAGAUAAUGACGGUACCUGGUAAAGAAGUCCCGGCUAACUCCGUG